CCACAAGCAGUAAAUCCAUCAAAUGAACUGUAGCACUAAAACUAAAGGAAAAAAGAAAUCAGCAAAACACUAACAGAUCAAAGUAGCAACAAAAUUUACCAGAAACACAAUACCAAAACACUCGAAACAAAACCCAAAAAAGCAUAAUUCAAACAUUUACAGCAACCAAAUUUCAUCCUAGAAAGAACCCAGAAAUUACUCACCAAAAAAUUUUCUUAAAAAAAAAAUACCUGAGCUAACUCUACCAACACGGUGAGACUGAGCAACUGAACCUUCUUUGAGUAUUUAGAGUGUUGUGAAUCACCUGUGCUAGGUUUGUCUGUAUCUCCUUCUGUGAAUCUGUGCUAGGUGUUGUGAAUCACCUUCUGUGUUUGUAUCUCCUUACACUGUCCAACGAGAUGACGAUUCAAGUUUUGUUCUACAGCCUGUGNNNN
rnacentral:lncRNA from 1 species